UGGCGGAUCUGUGGGAUCACGUGUUGCUACUGUGGCAUUCCUUCGGAGCUAAGAGUUAAUUUGGUGUUGGCUUGUCAGGUUUUGUUAUCAUGUUUUGAAGGUGUUAAAUGUAUCUGCAUGAUAGAAAUCAUCCCUUUCAAGAAAACUUGCUAUGUGCUUGAAAAUUAUUGAAUCCUGGAUUUGACACAUUAGCAACACGUGAUCCCACAGAUCCGCCA
rnacentral:misc_RNA from 1 species